rnacentral:rRNA from 1 species
UACAGAGGUCUCAAGCGUUGUUCGGAAUUACUGGGCGUAAAGGGCGCGUAGGCGGCCGCCUAAGUCAGACGUGAAAUCCCUCGGCUCAACCGGGGAACUGCGUCUGAUACUGGGUGGCUUGAAUCCGGGAGAGGGAUGCGGAAUUCCAGGUGUAGCGGUGAAAUGCGUAGAUAUCUGGAGGAACACCGGUGGCGAAGGCGGCAUCCUGGACCGGCAUUGACGCUGAGGAGCGAAAGCCAGGGGAGCAAACGGG